rnacentral:rRNA from 1 species
GGGACCUCAGGUCAGGCGGGGCU